rnacentral:rRNA from 1 species
GUGAACGCUGGCGGUAGGCCUAACCCCUGCCAGUCGCACGGCAGCACAGUAAGAGCUUGCUCUUACGGGUGGCGAGUGGCGGACGGGUGAGGAAUACAUCGGAAUCUACUUUUUCGUGGGGGAUAACGUAGGGAAACUUACGCUAAUACCGCAUACGACCUACGGGUGAAAGCAGGGGAUCUUCGGACCUUGCGCGAUUGAAUGAGCCGGUGUCGGAUUAGCUAGUUGGCGGGGUAAAGGCCCACCAAGGCGACGAUCCGUAGCUGGUCUGAGAGGAUGAUCAGCCACACUGGAACUGAGACACGGUCCAGACUCCUACGGGAGGCAGCAGUGGGGAAUAUUGGACAAUGGGCGCAAGCCUGAUCCAGCCAUACCGCGUGGGUGAAGAAGGCCUUCGGGUUGUAAAGCCCUUUUGUUGGGAAAGAAAAGCAGCAGGUUAAUACCCCGCUGUUCUGACGGUACCCAAAGAAUAAGCACCGGCUAACUUCGUG